GUCCCUGUAGCUUACAACUAAAGCAUGGCACUGAAGAUGCCAAGACGGCCCCACACCCGCCCGAGGACA
rnacentral:tRNA from 3 species